AGGGCCAAAGGCAGCUAAGACGGGCCAGUGGGGCCAGGACUUCAUUUAGACAGAUGUGUGGGAUGGAGAGCACAUUGGACCCAGGCCGCAGCUGAGUGAGCAGUGGGCAGGAAGCUGAUCUGGUCUGUUCCAGGCUGUACAAUGUCUGCCCAAGUGGAACUUCAGUUCGCUUGGUGAAGAAGACACAACACUUGGAGAGAAGCCCAGGUCUCCAGCCAGUGGCUGUGGGCUGCACAUGGCCUGACCCAAAUGGAAACACAGGAAAACAGAGCUGCAGCAAUGCUGGGCUAAAGAAGCUUCCGGACCUUGUCUUCUUCCUUUCUCUCCUUCCUUCCUUUCUUCCUUCCUUUUUUGGUAACUGCAUUCACUGAUUUUUUUUUUUUUUAAUCUUUGUGACCACAGUGCCUGUCAGAAUCGAGGGAAGAAAGGUUGAUUUGGCUCAUGACUCUGAGGGCUCCCAUCCAUCACAGUGGAAGUGCUUGGAUCAUCAUGGCUGUGGGAGCCCAUGGCAAGGCUAUUCACAUCGCAUUGACCAGGAAGAAGAACGUACAGGAAGCAGGCAGGGUGAUGUGCUCUCAAGGGCCUGCCCCCUGACUCACUUCUUCCAGAGUUCUCUUGAUGCUUUGGGGACACAGAAGUUGAAAUAAGUGACAUCCAUCUGCUGAAGGUGACACAGCAUUUCGGGCCAUUGACGCAGUUUCAGAGGCUCCUCUGUUUUUCCAGAACCUUCUAAGGUUUGCAUCUGGCUUGGUAGAGCCAUUCAGUGGUCAAAUCUGGUGAUGGAGGGAUUGCUGAGGCCCACACCACGGGGGGAACGGUUUGCAGUGAAGUCACACAAGGUCCACUGGAAUGGGAACCUGGGGAUCGGCCUGUCCAGGGUUUCCUAAAGAGAGCAGUGGUGAGCAGAGGUGGGAAGCAGGCGGGGUCCACAGGGCAAGGGACACUGUGAUCCUGAAAGGCUGGGUUAGGAACUUUGUCAGGGAGGGUGGCAGGGCCAAGGGUGUCAGAUGACUGUGGACACAGAGGCGAUGGAUGAUGUGCCUUAACGUCUGGGUGAUGCUGUCUGGUGAUCCCUUUUGAGCACAGGGUAAAUCCGUG
rnacentral:lncRNA from 1 species